rnacentral:rRNA from 1 species
UCUAUAUAUAUUAAGAAGUAAAAAAAUUAUUUUUGAAAUGUAUUUUUUUAGUAGAGUGAAUCGAAAUAUUUUAUAAUAAAUUAUAGACUAAAGUACUGUAAAGGAAAGAUGAAAUAAUUUGAAAAAUGUAUUAAUAAAAAGUAAAGUUAAAUUCUUGUACCUUGUGUAUUAGGGAAAAUCAAAAUAAUCUUAUUAUUUAAAGAAAUCCCGAAAGAAAAAGAGCUAUUAUAAAUAUAUAGUUUUCGUAUUAAUGAAAUUAUCAAAUUUAUACUAGUAGUGAAAUGCUAAUCGUUUUUUCAUAUCUGGUUAUUGGUGAAUUAAAUUUAAUUUGAUUAUAUUGAGGUAAUCAAAAGCUUUAAUAUAAUAAAGAAUAGGAGGGAAAAGCUUCUUGUUCUAACAUAGGUGUGUUAUGAUAUAAUGAAUAAUUAUUUUAUUGAAUUAGGCUUAAAAACAGCUAUAUUAAUAAAACGUUCUAGUUAAUAUAAUUUUUCUUUAUUAUUUUAAUAAAAUGAAUCUAACUUGUAGUAGCCAAUAUUUAUGUUAAGUAAAAUACCAUAAGUUAUAAUGAUUUUAUUAGUAGAAAUACAUUUGUGUAAAUAGAUAACAUUAAAUAAUCUAUAUAUUUUUAUUUUUUUUUAGGUAUAAUUAAGGAACUCGGCAAAUACUACUUUUGCCUGUUUAUCAAAAACAUGUCUAUAUGAUUGUUAUAUAAAGUCUAGCCUGCCCACUGAAUUAUUUUUAAAGGGCCGCGGUAUACUGACCGUGCGAAGGUAGCAUAAUCAUUAGUCUUUUAAUUGAAGGCUUGUAUGAAUGGUUGGACAAAAAGUAAUCUGUCUCAGUUAUAAUAGUUGAACUUAACUUUUAAGUGAAAAGGCUUAAAUACUUUAAGGGGACGAUAAGACCCUAUAAAACUUAACAAUAAUUUGAUUAAAUUAUAAAUUGUUAGUAUAACUUGAUUUUAAUUAAUGUUUGUUGCGUUGGGGCGACGGGAAUAUAAUUAGUAACUGUUCUUAAAUAUUUUAUUAACAAGUAUAAUUGAAGAAUAAUUGAUCCUUUAUUAAAGAUUAAAAGAUUAAGUUACUUUAGGGAUAACAGCGUAAUCUUCUUUGAGAGUCCUCAUCGACAAGAAGGUUUGCGACCUCGAUGUUGAAUUAAGGUAUCCUUAUAAUGCAGCAGUUAUAAAGGAAGGUCUGUUCGACCUUUAAAUCCUUACAUGAUUUGAGUUCAGACCGGCGUGAGCCAGGUCGGUUUCUAUCUCUUAAUUUUAUUAUAAUUACUUUAGUACGAAAGGAUUAAGUAGUUAAAAUAAUUUUAUUUAUAUGAUU